AUUGAACGCUGGCGGCAUGCCUUACACAUGCAAGUCGAACGGUAACAGGUCUUCGGAUGCUGACGAGUGGCGAACGGGUGAGUAAUACAUCGGAACGUGCCCAGACGUGGGGGAUAACGAGGCGAAAGCUUUGCUAAUACCGCAUACGAUCUAAGGAUGAAAGCAGGGGACCGCAAGGCCUUGCGCGUUUGGAGCGGCCGAUGGCAGAUUAGGUAGUUGGUGGGAUAAAAGCUUACCAAGCCGACGAUCUGUAGCUGGUCUGAGAGGACGACCAGCCACACUGGGACUGAGACACGGCCCAGACUCCCACGGGAGGCAGCAGUGGGGAAUUUUGGACAAUGGGCGAAAGCCUGAUCCAGCAAUGCCGCGUGCAGGAUGAAGGCCUUCGGGUUGUAAACUGCUUUUGUACGGAACGAAAAGGCUCUGGCUAAUACCUGGGGCACAUGACGGUACCGUAAGAAUAAGCACCGGCUAACUACGUG
rnacentral:rRNA from 1 species